GUUUUCCCUCUAGGUCUCAGUAUGUGGUCCGUGAUAGCCUUGAAUUCGGUUGGUAGUCUAUGCUGGCCUCUGCAUAGACCAGUCUCCUGCUUCAGCCUCCCAAGUUUUGGAAUUACAGUUUCUCUGUAUUGGCCCUGACUGUCCUGGAACU